UGGAUGAUGUGGAUUAAUUCGAUGCAACGCGAAAACCUUACUACCCUUGACAUGUUCGGAAUUCCGCAGAGAUGUGGAAGUGCUCGAAAGAGAACCGGAGCACAGGUGCUGCAUGGCUGUCGUCAGCUCGUGUCGUGAGAUGUUGGGUUAAGUCCCGCAACGAGCGCAACCCUUAUCCCUAGUUGCCGUCAGGUAAAGCUGGGAACUCUGGGGAGACUGCCGGUGAUAAACCGGAGGAAGGCGGGGAUGACGUCAAGUCCUCAUGGCCCUUACAUCCCGGGCUACACACGUGCUACAAUGGCAGGUACAGAGGGCUGCGAAGCCGCGAGGUGGAGCGAAUCCCAGAAAACCUGUCUCAGUCCGGAUUGAAGUCUGCAACUCGACUUCAUGAAGGCGGAAUCGCUAGUAACCGCGAAUCAGCAGGUCCGCGGUCGAAUACGUUCCCGGGCCUU
rnacentral:rRNA from 1 species